UUCCGUAGUGAACCUGCGGAAGGAUCAUUG
rnacentral:rRNA from 1 species